CAGACCUCUAAUCGGAAAAGACUACCCGCUGAGUUUAAGCAUAUCAUAAGCCGGAAGGAA
rnacentral:rRNA from 1 species